rnacentral:rRNA from 1 species
GUGCCAGCCGCCGCGGUAAUACGGAGGGGGCGAGCGUUAUUCGGAAUUAUUGGGCGUAAAGGGCGCGUAGGCGGCUGAACAAGUCAAAGGUGAAAUCCCUCGGCUCAACUGAGGAACUGCCUUUGAAACUGUUCGGCUUGAGGCCGGGAGGGGGUAGCGGAAUUCCCAGUGUAGCGGUGAAAUGCGUAGAUAUUGGGAGGAACACCAGUGGCGAAGGCGGCUACCUGGACCGGUUCUGACGCUGAGGCGCGAAAGCGUGGGUAGCAAACAGGAUUAGAAACCCCCGUAGUCC